UACGUAGGGUGCGAGCGUUAAUCGGAAUUACUGGGCGUAAAGCGUGCGCAGGCGGCUUCGCAAGUCAGACGUGAAAAUCCCCGGGCUUAACCUGGGAAUGGCGUUUGAAACUACGGAGCUGGAGUGUGGCAGAGGGAGGUAGAAUUCCACGUGUAGCGGUGAAAUGCGUAGAUAUGUGGAGGAAUACCGAUGGCGAAGGCAGCCUCCUGGGCCAACACUGACGCUCAUGCACGAAAGCGUGGGGAGCAAACAGG
rnacentral:rRNA from 1 species